CCUACGGGUUGCAGCAGUGGGGAAUAUUGCACAAUGGGCGCAAGCCUGAUGCAGCCAUGCCGCGUGUAUGAAGAAGGCCUUCGGGUUGUAAGUACUUCCAGCGGGGAGGAAGGCGAUAAGGUUAAUAACCUUGUCGAUUGACGUUACCCGCAGAAGAAGCACCGGCUAACUCCGUGCCAGCAGCCGCGGUAAUACGGAGGGUGCAAGCGUUAAUCGGAAUUACUGGGCGUAAAGCGCACGCAGGCGGUCUGUCAAGUCGGAUGUGAAAUCCCCGGGCUCAACCUGGGAACUGCAUUCGAAACUGGCAGGCUAGAGUCUUGUAGAGGGGGGUAGAAUUCCAGGUGUAGCGGUGAAAUGCGUAGAGAUCUGGAGGAAUACCGGUGGCGAAGGCGGCCCCCUGGACAAAGACUGACGCUCAGGUGCGAAAGCGUGGGGAGCAAACAGGAUUAGAUACCCGGGUAGUC
rnacentral:rRNA from 1 species